rnacentral:rRNA from 1 species
UACGAAGGGGGCUAGCGUUGCUCGGAAUCACUGGGCGUAAAGCGCACGUAGGCGGAUCUUUAAGUCAGGGGUGAAAUCCUGGAGCUCAACUCCAGAACUGCCUUUGAUACUGGGGAUCUCGAGUCCGGAAGAGGUGAGUGGAACUCCGAGUGUAGAGGUGAAAUUCGUAGAUAUUCGGAAGAACACCAGUGGCGAAGGCGGCUCACUGGUCCGGUACUGACGCUGAGGUGCGAGAGCGUGGGGAGCGAACCGG